UCUCUCUCUCUCUCUCUCUCUCUCAAGUUAGCUUAGUGGUAGUGGUAGUAAUAACAGUAGGAGUAGUAGCAUUAGUAGUAGCAGGAACACCACACACUUAACACUCCCAACUCUCCCUUCCAGACCCUAGUAGUAGCAGCAGUAGUAGUAGUAUUAACACUAACCACUCAUUAUUUCUCUACUGGUGAUCUCUGGCUUUCCUUACUGAGUCUUGGUCAUCCUCUUUUAGAGAUUUUGGUGAAACUUUUGCUGUUGCCUUGGACAUAUCAAAAGCUUUUGAUAGAGUCUGGCACAAAGCUUUGAUUUCCAAACUACCCUCCUACGGCUUCUAUCCUUCUCUCUGUAACUUCAUCUCAAGUUUCCUUUCUGACCAUUCUAUUGAUGCUGUGGUAGACGGUCACUAUUCUUCUCCUAAAUCUAUUAACAGUGGUGUUCCUCAGGGUUCUGUCCUGUCACCCACUUUUCCUAUUAUUCAUCAGUGACUUUCUAAAACCAAACUUGUUGUCCUAUCCACUCCUAUACUGAUGAUACCACCCCGCACUUAUCCAUGUCUUUUCAUAGACAUCCAACCCUUCAGGAAGUAAACAGUUCACGCAGGGAAGCCACAGAACACCUCACUUCUGAUCUCUCAAAAAUUUCUGACUGGGGCAGACCAAACUAGUUAUUGUUUGCUGUCUAAAAAAAUCAAUUCUUCCAUCUAUCAACUCGACACAACCUUCCAGACAACUAUCCCCUCUUCUUCAAUGACACUCGGCUGUCCCCCUCUUCUACACUGCCACACUCCCCUGCCUGUUUUCCCUUGGUACAAGCUUCUCAUGUGAUGGCUCACCCAUAAUUUUCCUCACAUAAUGAGUCCUGGCAAGCUUGACAGUGAAGAAAAGUGUUGUGAUGGUAUUUGUUCAAGAAGGGAUCAGUAAUUGUGAGACAGGAAGGAAGAUGGCAAAUUCAGAAGCAGCCGUCACCCGGGUGGUGGACGGAGGCCGCUCACCCCCAGUCAUCCUGCAGCUCACAGGUCUCUUCUGACCAGGAGAAAGAUGGCGUGGCAAUUAAGUGUUCAAAGUGCAUGUGUUCCAUCAACUUAUUAUUCCUGUAUCUGUCUUCCUUUUUUGCCCUUAGCCUUUCUCUCAGGAGUGGCAGCUGUGCCCAGCACUAGUGUAGCCCUGGCCAACUGUGUCACGGCUGUCUUUGAUCUCCCUGUCUUCCUUCCAGCCCCACAGUUACUGACCUUGACUCAAACACCAUCACGGCACUCUCUUCCCUGUUAAACUUGCCGGGAUCCAUUGUAAUGUAAGGGGUAUUGAAUGUGAGCGAUGAAACGAGAAGGUAGUGGCAAGGGGGAAAAAAGUACAGGGGAGCGCAGGAGAGACACCUCUCUCCACUGUGCCUGACAGUCUCUCAGUGAUUGAAAGACUGAGCAUAACAUCUUCAGGGCACGUGGUAACACGGAGAGGAAGUGGAAGAAACCUUGGGACGCUCCCAUAACUCAGGAGCAAGAAGUAAACCUUACUGGAAACCUUGUGACUGACAGGUGGCGGUGACUGCAGGAACCAAUUCAGAUGUCUGUCUUGUGUUGGCGAACGUCCUGUCUGCAGUCAGGCCAGUAGUGCCAUGUCGCAGGGUGUGACAUCAGGUGAAGAACCAAAUGGAGAGUGUCUGCAGCUAGUACUGGGUGUGCUGAUGCUGUACAAGUGUCGAGCCAGGUGCCACAGCACAUGUCAGCUGACUCCACCAGUGUAGUGUCUCUAGUCCAGGAUGCACUGCUGUGUACGACUUGUAUGUCUUUGCUAAUAAAUAAAUAUUUGUGACUAUUCUUAUUAUAUAUGUGAAAUAAAUAUAAUAUUAUAGUUUGCUAACAGUGUGGUAUAAUAGUGUAAAAAUAAAUAUUUGAUAACAAUUCAUGCAUGCCCCAAAGGUAAAAAAAAAAAAAAAAACAGGAUUGUGCCCUCUAAACUUUUAAGAUACCACUUGCACAUAGAAGCCCCGUCGCAGCGACUCCAGUGUCGGCUGGGAUGGGGCUUCUAUGUGCAAAUGGUAUCUUAAACUUAGUUUAGUAGCCAAUCCUGACUUUUUUUUUUACCUUGGGGGCAUGACCUGUACUCCCAGAAAGACUUUGCCAAAGAUAUUAUUGACAUGGCAUAAAUAACUAUCAUUGUUUUUUUUACCUUGAGGGCAUGACCUGUACUCCCAGAAAGACUAUUUGCCAAAGAUAUUAUUGACAUGGUAUAAAUAACUAUCAUUAUGUUCAAGAUGGUAUACUGAAUGUUUAUUGUUUUAAUGUGAAUGUUAAGUGAAUAAAUACACAACAAUAAUAUAAA